ensembl:snRNA U2 U2 spliceosomal RNA
AAACUUUUGACUAUUAUCAAUCAAGUCUAGUAUCUGUUCUUGUCAGUUUAAUAUCCAAUAUGUCCUCUAUCCUAGGAUCAUAUAGUACGUGGGUUUUGGAGCUAGAAGUUAGAAUGGGAGCUUGUCACAUCCACUCCACUCAGGACUUCUAGGACUGGUGCACCAUAC